rnacentral:misc_RNA from 1 species
GUAAAUUGUGCUUUGUAAGCUGUUAAUUUUAGCAAGGUACCUCUUAAAGUCAUUGCUAAAAGGUCCUAGCAAAGAUGCUUAGCUUUUAAACAUUUUACUCUUCAAGUUAUUCAUCGCAAAGCCAACGUUAACGGCAUCCUGAUUUGUCUACUAUGAAGUUAUAUGAUAGAAGUUUGCUUAUGGAGGAAGCGCGUGGUCCCAAUAGCAUUAUAUAUAUGAGUAUGCAAAACAGCUGAUUUUUGUGCAAAUUCUAUCACCAUGGAUACAGGUCAAGAUAUUUUUUACGAUAACGAAGAAAUAAAAUACAUAGUCUUAAUUGUACUGUUCAAAUCUACUA